rnacentral:rRNA from 1 species
AACGGCCGUACCAUGCUAAAUAUACCGGUUCUCGUUAGAUCACCGAAGUCAAGCAUCAUUGGGCGCGGUCAGUACUUGGGUGGGUGACCACCUGGGAACACUGCGUGCCGUU